AGGUCGUAGCAGGCUUUUUGCUGUUUGUCUUGCUAGUUGCUUCCUAAAGGAGAACGAUGUCUAAGGAUCAAGCGAUCG
rnacentral:ncRNA from 1 species